CAGGCUAGAGCUUAAAAAAGUAUUUUAUUUACAUUAAAAAGAUUGUUGUUUUGUUCAAUGUGGCUUGA
rnacentral:tRNA from 1 species